GUAGUCCUACGGGGGGCAGCAGUGGGGGAUAUUGGACAAUGGGGGAAACCCUGAUCCAGCGACGCCGCGUGAGUGAAGAAGUAUUUCGGUAUGUAAAGCUCUGUCAGCAGGGAAGAAAGAAAUGACGGUACCUGACUAAGAAGCCCCGGCUAACUACGUGCCAGCAGCCGCGGUAAUACGUAGGGGGCAAGCGUUAUCCGGAUUUACUGGGUGUAAAGGGAGCGUAGACGGUGCAGCAAGUCUGAUGUGAAAGGUCGGGGCCCAACCCCGGGACUGCAUUGGAAACUGUUGAACUGGAGUACAGG
rnacentral:rRNA from 1 species